GCUGCCCAACUCGCUUUCGGAAGGAAGCAGGGCCGCAGCUUCCUUUUCUAGGAUCUUCACCCUCUCAAUUUCGGCGAUUAAAUCAAUGCCCCCCGCAUAGACACCCUCGAGUAUCUAUCUCCGAGACUUUAAUCGGGCAUGAUCCACUGCUCGGGUCAGGUGCAGCUCAGCCUCUUCGAACACCUUCUAGGCCUGAGCAUUUGUAGUAGCGGCGUCCUUCUUAUGUGAGGCCAUGAGCACCUCGGCCUCAGCCCUAACCUCAGACAGCGUAGAAACAAACUAAGUAUGGAGAUCCUUAUGCCUACUACUUUAGGCUCUCUCAUCUUCGAGGCAACGCCCGACCGAAACCACCUCUCCCCAAAGGACAUCUCUCUCAGAUAUUAGCUCACUCAGAUACCGCUUAAGCUCGAGAAUUUCGGAGUCCCUGGCUUGGAGCUCCUUCACCAUAAAGACCUCCUUCUCCUUAAACUGCAAGAAUCGACCCAAAGAUAUUAAAACACAAAAUUUAGUCAAACAUAUAGACAAAAAAUAGACAGGAGUUAUGUAACAUGUUCAGUAAGACGAGCCUUUUCCUGGGACGCCGCAUCCAAGCAAUCUCGAAGGCCACAGAGUUCUUCCUCCCUCUUGGUAGAAAGAGCCCUAAGCUCAUUGUCUUCUGAGGUAAGCUUCUUAUGUUCACCCUCACGGCGAGUUAGCUCGACUUCAAAAUUGGUAAACGUUUUGUCAUAAAGCACCUUGGCCUGGAACCAUGGAAGAAAAAAUGUUAGAAGGGAAAGUUGGGGCGCCGAGUAGAAUUUACAAAUAGAUUACCUGCUCGCAUAGCUUGUCGAUCUCAGUAAAAAUAAGCAAAACAUCAAGCUCAUGCUUUUCCUCAGGCACAGCAGAAGGCUUUUCGAACACAUCUUUAUCACCCAUGGGUGUCCCUACGAGGAAAGACUCUAUAUUGGGGAUAUCUUGCGUCUUCCUCGGAGGAAAGGCCGAUUCAGAAGGGGAAUCACUCACUUCAAUGACCUCGACUGGGUCAAUCGGGGUUGCCCCUUACUUUUGAAGAGCCUUAGAAUUGGGCUCCCCUAGAUCGCCUGCCAAGUGCACUUCGGCUCAAGGGAAAUUUUGGUCGUCGGCAAUAACAUCUGAUACACCCACACAGGCCUCUUCACCCCGAGGCGGGGCAGCGACAUAACCAAGCCGCGACUCGGAAGAUGCCGACUCAACAGUAUGAGAGAUAGUCAAGUCCUCUCCCCCUUUGGGCGCUGACAAAGGAUCAUCUUUCCUUUUGCCUCUAGCUCGGGGACUCCUCAACCCUUCUGGAAUUAAGACCGCUAAACCAUCCUUAGGAUCUUCCAUUAUGGUUUUCUUGGAUUUUGGAGGACAAGUCGGUUAUCCCCCUCAUCUUUUCCUCCCUUCAUCGGGUGUUGGAGCACCCGCUUCCCCAGGUAAAGUUUCUCUCAUCAAGAAGACCUCCCCCAGACCUGCCCAAAUACAAAAUCAAGCUUGGGAAAUGAGAGCGCAAUUAGCAAUGACCGUUGUAAAAUUGAAACUAUAACAGAAAAUGAAGUCCUACCAUGUUCCUUGGCUUCCCAUCGAGCCUUGGAUAAAUUGUGCCACACGCGCUCGACAUAUGGGCAAGUCGAGUCCAAUUUAGAUACCCAGCCUGAAAGAUCCCUUGCCGUAUCAGGGUACGCCGCGGCAGCUGCAUCAGCGGAGGAAAUCAGUCCAUAAAGAAAUGUAUCCAAAAGAAGAAAAUGAGCAGUUAAUUAAGUAUGUCUACUUACGCUUCAUGUUCCAUCUUUCGGGGAACGACAUCCUCUCUGUGGGAAUCAAGUCCGAAGUCCUAACUCGGACAAAGCAGCUCAUCCAUCCCCCAUUCUUAACCUCAUCGGUGCAAGCAAAGAGGGCCCUAGAGUCCCAGCAAAGGAGCUUAAUCAGGUCCCCCGUGGAAGAGUCGGGGACUGUACAUUCUGAUCAAAUGAUCAAGCAUGAAGGGCAGCCCCUCGAUCAUAUUCAUGUAAUAUCUGUUCAUGUAAACAAUACACCAGAAUGACGGAUGAAUUUGGCCGAGAGUCACUUGAUAUCGUCUGCAAAAGUGGAGGACCACAGUAUCUAUCAAAGUCAUAGAGGGCACCGCCGGGCCAAGGGUAAAUGGAUAAGUAUACACACCGAGGAAGUCAGCCUUAUACAUCGUUAUGUCUUCCCCCCGAGAAGAAACCUCCACUAACAUCGUAUCUCCCCAACGAUAGUCGAUUUUUAUCCUUUCGAUGUCCGUUAUUAAACUGAUGUAUCGAGAUGCAGGUACGCAUCGCCCCGACUUUGAAAAAGGUCUCUCGACCUUAAAAUUAGAGGUCAUCUCAAAGGUCUCUAGAGCGCAUUCUCCAGUGCUGGGAAACGCUAUUGUUUUACCCUCAGAGGGGAGCAUAGAAUAGGAAGGCGUAUCUUUAUGAGGGAUAGGGGUGGAAGUGUUCGCCAUUUUUACCAUAGGAUUGCAAAGAAGAAACGAAAAAUAGGUUUCAGGAAAAGACCAAGAGAGAGGUAAGAGAAAAGAAAAACUCAAUUGGGAGCCUAAUGAUGCAGUAGAGAGGAAUGGGCAAAGAAAUGAGUAUUUAUAGAAGCCUAACAUGUGCGAUUGGAGCAGACCAAAAGACAGCCAACAGCUAUAAUUAAUUCGAAGAUUUUGAGGAUUGUGUGGACGCGACCUUUGGAAGCCCUAUUACAUCGGUCGCCUGGCAGGGCACAACUAUUUGCUUUGAUGAAGGCGCCCGAGGGGUAAGAUCUCGAGGAUGUUUCUCUUCGUUUUACUAUGAGAAACGCGGGGACUAUCUGUAUACGGCUAAAAUCGGGAAGACCAAUUUUACAAUUGACAAGGCAUUGCGCAAUCUUGCCUUGAAGGUCCUGGAGGAUAACUCGGGGUUCGAUGCCUUCGGGGAGUCCUCGCGCCCGGUAUUGGGGCGGAAUGGGCCGGUGUUUAUCGUCGAUAAGCGGGAAGUUCCCUAGGAGCUGUAUUUUCUGACAAACGCCUGCGCAAACAGUGACAGUCUACACCACGUUGAUUGAGUGGUUGUACCUGCUACUUUAUGUAAUAAUUACACAUGCAUUUGUACUAUGUUGGGAUUCCCCCUCAUAUAUAAAGGGGGCCCUUGUCAUUUUGUAGAAGGAGUUGAUGCUCAAUAUUGAAUACACAAGAACAUUCUCUCUGCUCUCUAAUAUAUUCACUUGAUUUUAUUACUUCCAUUUAUUGCUCAUAUCCAUUGCGUUCUAUUUAUUGUUCUUCAUUUAUUGCUUAUUAUUGGCCAUAGAGAGACGUUAUUGAAUUUAUUGCAAUUGUUAGUCCUCCAUCGACUACCCUCGGCAGGGCAUCUGACUCGACCUCGAGGCCCCGAUUAUUAGCCACUCGGUUUGGUUAUCACGUUAUUUUCAAGCUAUUAUCUUGUUUCCAAGUCUUUCACUUAGCAUCAAUUGCCUAACGCCUAGCAUAAAAAUAGAUCACUGUUAUAAAUAGAAUUUUUUUUAUGGUGAAUGUCUAUAUUUAGAGAGAUUCUAGGGUUCAUUACUUGGUGGCUAAGUCACUCUCUCCCUAUAAAUAGAGGGUUCUAUUCCAUUGCAAUUCAUCCCAAAAUCAAUAAGAAUUCUCUCUCCCUACUUUUCUCUGCAAUACUCUUCUUCUCCUUUUAUUAUUUUAUAACACGUUCUCAGCACGAGACUCUAACCUAUUGAGUAGAAGCUUUAGGAUUGAGCAUAAUGAUUGUCAAUUAUUCCAUGAACUUCCUUCAUGAUUAAAUUCUAGAUUUAAGGUAAGUAUUUUACUUUAUUUCUCUCUUUUAAAUUCUUGAAUUCUAUAAUUUGAUUUUAAAUACAAGCAAAGACAAUAAACUUUGAUUAUAACUCGAAUAGAGUUUGUAAGAAAUUACAACCACUCGAAGUGGUAAAAUUUCUCUAUCUUGUCAUAAUCAAAUUCAUGUAUGAUUGUGGGCAAAAGAAGUGAAAACUCGUCCCAUUGAAUUUGCUUCAUUCUCAUUCCCUUAAGAGAAUGUGAUAGUACUAUAUGAUACGUCUGAAAGAAGACAAAAUUAUUACCAUAAAGGUAUUAAUGGGUGUGGUUAUCGUCUACCUUUAUGGCUCACUUGAUAAUGAGAUAUACAUGAAAAUUCCCGAGGGAUUUAAAAUGCAUAACACACAUAAUUCAAAAUCCCGGAAAAUAUUUUCAAUCAAAUUGCAAAGAUCUUUGUACGGUCUAAAGCAAUCAGUACGUAUGUGGUAUAAUUGUCUUAGUGAGUAUUUAUUAAAGGAAGGUUAUAUAAAUGAUGUCAUUUGUCCAUGUGUUUUUAUAAAGAAAAUAACAUCGAAAUUUGUUGUACUUGCCGUAUAUGUUGAUGACAUAAACCUUAUUGGAACUCCUAUAGAACUCCAAAAGGCAACUGAUUAUUUAAAGAAGGAAUUCGAGAUGAAAGAUCUCAGAAAGACAAAAUUAUGUCUUGGUUUGCAAAUUGAACAUUUGGCAAACGAAAUUUUUGUUCAUCAAUCUGCCUACAUAGAAAAGGUAUUGAAACGGUUUUACAUGGAUGGAGCACAUCCAUUAAGUACUCCGAUGGUUGUCCGUUCAUUUGAUGUGAAUAAGGAUCCAUUCCAACCUCAAGAAGAGAAUGAAGAGCUACUUGGUCCUGAAGUACCAUAUCUUAGUGCAAUUGGUGCACUAAUGUAUCUUGCUAACACUACAAGGUCUGACAUAACUUUUUCAGUUAAUAUCUUAGCAAGAUAUAGCACGGCUCCCACAAGAAGACAUUGGAAUGGAAUCAAACACAUAUUGCGGUAUCUAAAAGGAACUAUCGAUAUGGGUUUAUUUUAUGGCAAUAAUUGCAAUCCUGAUUAUGUUGGUUAUGCCGAUGCUGGGUAUUUAUCUGACCCACAAAAGGCUCGGUCUCAAACAGGUUAUGUGUUUACCUGUGGAGGCACUGCCAUAUCUUGGCGAUCGACUAAGCAAUCAAUUGUGGCUACUUCAUCUAAUCAUGCUGAGAUAAUUGUUAUUCAUGAAGCAAGUCGAGAAUUUCUAUGGUUGAGGUCUAUAAUACAUCUUAUUCGAGACAAAUAUGGUGUGAAAUAUGACAAACUACCCACGAUUUUGUAUGAAGACAAUGCAGCAUGCAUAGCCCAAUUGAAGAGAAGAUUCAUAAAAGGAGAUAGGACAAAGCACAUUUCACCAAAGUUAUUUUUCACACAUGAUCUUCAAAAGAAUGGUGAUAUUAAUGUGCACCAAAUUCGUUCAAGUGAAAAUAUGAUUUGUUCACCAAAUCUCUACCGACGUCAACCUUCAAGAAGCUAGUGUACAAGAUUGGGAUGCGAAGGCUCAAGGAUGUGAGUUGAUGCUCUCAUCAGGUGGAUUUAAUGCAUGUUGCACUCUUUUUCCCUUACAAAGUUUUGUCCCACUGGAUUUUCCUUGAAAGGUUUUUAACGAGGCAACCAAAAGGCGUAUUAUUAGAUAUGUGUACUCUUUUUUCUUUUCUAGAAUUUUUUUCCCAUUGAGUUUUAUUUUAGCUAAGGUUUUAACAAGACACAUUAUCUAUUGAAUAAGCAUUCAGGGGGAGUGUUAUAAAUAGAAUUUUAUUUAUGGUGAAUGUCUAUAUUUAGAGAGAUUCUAGGGUUUAUUACUUGGUGGCUAAGUCACUUUUUUCCUAUAAAUAGAGGGUUCUAUUCCAUUGUAAUUCAUCCUAAAAUCAAAAAGAAUUCUCUCUCCCUAUUUUUCUAUGCAAUACUCUUCUUCUCCUUUUAUUAUUUUAUAACAAUCACAUAUUUUAGAACCACAAAAUCAAAUCUAAUUGUAAUUAUCAUUUUCAAGGUAAACAGUAUGUAACAGUUCUAUGUACAAAUAUAAAAGGACCAAAACAUUUUGUCUUCCUAAGUUAAACUUCAACUGGGCGUCUUCCUAACAACCUAUUACUCCCUCCGUUUCAUAUUAAGUGAGGUACUUUCCUUUUAGUCUGUUUCAAAAUAAAUGAUACAUUUCUAAAUUUGAAAAUAAUUCAACUUUAAACUCUUUCAUUUUACCCAUUUACCCUUAAUGAGAAGCUUUUAUAGCCACACAAAUGUUAUGGCCCCACAAACUUUUUACCCCUUAAGCUUUUAAGAUCACAAGUUCCUAAAGUCAUUUUCUUUUUUCUUAAACUCCGUGUCGAGUCAAACUACCUCAUUCAAUAUGAAAUGGAGGGAGUAUUAUUUAAUAGCAAAGGGGUAAUAAUAGCAUUUUGCCUAGAGGCGAAUGGAGCCUUGUAGCACCAAAGUUUGAACAAAAUGAAAGUUUUCGCUUCCAAAUUUAAGGUUGAAUAGCUUUUGGUUUAGCAAAUGAGUCAAGCUGACAUUUGGUAUUAAUUAUUAGUCAAAACUUGUUUCAUUCAAUUUUGCCGUUUGACUACUAGAAAGUGACAUUAUCUUUGUAUUGGCAUGUAAGAUGUAGGCUACUGUUGCCAAGCCAAGUUUGGUCAGUUCAAAGAAUUAAAAUAACUGUUUGCAAGUUAAGGUGCACUCCAAGCACAUAAAAAAAAUCAUAUGAGUAUAUUACAAAAUCUACAAUCAUAAUAAGGAAUAAUAAAUUUAUCAUAACCAUCACUUCAUACAACAUUGCUAUAUAAUAAAAAAUCUUGUGUAGAAGUUUGCAGCUGGGAAAGGGCAGCACUAUUUUCUUUUCUCAACUUUUCCAUCACUAAGAAAGCCAUAGUCAUUCAUUCAUGAUCAUUUGCCUCUCAUAUUUACUUGUAGAUAGUUAUUCUAAAAGUCAAUGUCAACCUUCUAUUACAAAAUGUUAGUCCACUGCUGCCCAUCUUUUAAUUCCCAACGACUCAAGUCAGAAUCUCCCCUUUCUCCACUUAACUUUCUAGCCAAACUUCUCUUACUGCUUUGCCUGCAUGAAAAUCAUAAGGACAAAAUUAAUCAAAAAAAAAAAGGUUUAAAAUUGAUGUUAUGGUUUGUAUUGAGUUGUCACAAGUCUAGUUGUCAAAGUAUGGAGUGCAGUGAUGGUACCAAGGAUGAAAACAAGCAACAAGUUGUAAAUGUGCUAGAUUCAUUUGGAUCUUUAUUGGUCCCAGCUAUAUUGCACGAACUUUUCAAAAUGUUGCCGUACCCGNNNN
rnacentral:lncRNA from 1 species